CCUGUGCUCACAUGAAGGCUGUGCUGCUUUGGUCUCAUCUCUGAAAUCUAGCGACUCUAAACUGACGAAGCUGGACCUCAGUAGAAACAACCUGCAGCAUAAAGGAAUGAAGCUGCUGACUGAGUUUGUGAAAAGUUCAAGCUGUAAACUGAAGACUCUGAGAGUGGACUAUGGACGAAACUUGAUUUCAAGUGCCAUCGGUGAAGCAGGAACAACAGAGCCCAAGCUGCAUGAGCAGAGGAAG